rnacentral:rRNA from 1 species
GAUGAACGCUGACAGAAUGCUUAACACAUGCAAGUCAACUUGAACUUCGGUUUGGGUGGCGGACGGGUGAGUAACGCGUAAAGAACUUGCCUCACAGAUAGGGACAACAUUUGGAAACGAAUGCUAAUACCUGAUAUUAUGAUUUUAGGGCAUCCUAGAAUUAUGAAAGCUAUAUGCACUGUGAGAGAGCUUUGCGUCCCAUUAGCUAGUUGGAGAGGUAACGGCUCACCAAGGCGAUGAUGGGUAGCCGGCCUGAGAGGGUGAUCGGCCACAAGGGGACUGAGACACGGCCCUUACUCCUACGGGAGGCAGCAGUGGGGAAUAUUGGACAAUGGACCAAGAGUCUGAUCCAGCAAUUCUGUGUGCACGAUGAAGUUUUUCGGAAUGUAAAGUGCUUUCAGUUGGGAAGAAAAAAAUGACGGUGCCAACAGAAGAAGUGACGGCUAAAUACGUGCCAGCAGCCGCGGUAAUACGUAUGUCACAAGCGUUAUCCGGAUUUAUUGGGCGUAAAGCGCGUCUAGGUGGUUAUGUAAGUCUGAUGUGAAAAUGCAGGGCUCAACUCUGUAUUGCGUUGGAAACUGUGUAACUAGAGUACUGGAGAGGUAAGCGGAACUACAAGUGUAGAGGUGAAAUUCGUAGAUAUUUGUAGGAAUGCCGAUGGGGAAGCCAGCUUACUGGACAGAUACUGACGCUGAAGCGCGAAAGCGUGGGUAGCAAACAGG